AAAAACCGGGACUGUCCCAAGUUAAACCUACGAGCCCUCCUAUUUCCUAUAGAAGUGGUUUUAUUUCUAUGUCAGUGAAACGGAACACCACUCUUUCAUUAUCCCAGAACAGAGUAGGAGCCUCGAUCAAUUUGUUAUUUGGUUCAAUAUAUAGCAGGGAUGGCAAGUUGCAUAGGUACUUUUUCGCAUGCUUCUUGUCACUUGAGGAGAGAUCUUCCCACCAAUCUAGCAACAAUAGAGGGAUAUUUCUAACCAUACUCAAUCUGGGGACCUCAUGCCUCAUUUUCUGCAAAACAAAGGAUUAUGCCUUACCCCCUCCGGAUUCGACUAUUUAUACAUUUAUGAUUAGCAUAUAAGCAUUUAGUUCUCCAAAUUAAUGCACAGAACGUGAUUGCACCCGUUGGGAUUAUGGAUAACCCGAUGGACUUUGGAUAAGGCUUAUCUUACAGGAUCAUUAUGUGGACAACAUAAUUGAUCCGACUAGGUUUGACCAUGAUGCAUGUACAAUUUAAAUGGAGUAAGGUUUCUAUGAGGUUUAGACUGGUACCCUCAAGCAGAAAACUUGAGGGGGAAGGCACGGAAUGUUGACUGCACCUUCGAUCGACUGGUAUUACCACACAUAAGUCUUUCCAAAUUUAAGGUAAGUAAAUAGGAAGAGCGCAAUCACUCAUUAAAGCGUUGCUAUAGGAUUUGAUUCGCAUGAG
rnacentral:lncRNA from 1 species